rnacentral:piRNA from 1 species
UUCCAGAAUGUGUGGGAGAUGCCC